UAACACGUGGAUAACCUACCUAUAAGACUGGGAUAACUUCGGGAAACCGGAGAUAAUACCGGAUAAUAUAUUGAACCGCAUGGUUCAAUAGUGAAAGACGGUCUUGCUGUCACUUAUAGAUGGAUCCGCGCUGCAUUAGCUAGUUGGUAAGGUAACGGCUUACCAAGGCAACGAUGCAUAGCCGACCUGAGAGGGUGAUCGGCCACACUGGAACUGAGACACGGUCCAG
rnacentral:rRNA from 1 species